rnacentral:lncRNA from 1 species
ACGUCUUCAAGAACGUUAAUUUCAUCUGAGAACGUGCCGCCCUCCUUUUUGCGAUGUGCAAAGAUCGUGCGCAAGUCGUGCGUUUUUUGGAGCGCCAGUCACGUACGAGUCGUUCAAGGAAUCGAAGGAAUGUACUACGGGCGCUCGUAGGACUCCGCAGCUGAUGGCUGACGCCCGUGGCUACCUACUGCAUGACAGUAUGAAAGGUCGAUCUUGGCCCACGACUGUAAAUGGAAAACCAAAAGUGGCGGUGGCGGUGUUCUCUGUCAGAGAAACAGCAAAAGCACUAUCGCACAACGAAACAUUGCAUGACUAAAGCAUCGCCUGUGCCUCAUGCUGCUGUUUCAUCAAAGAUCAAGGUCAUCGCCCUUGGAGGGACUUUAUGCAUGGCAGCAUGGUUCAAGUUCCACACGGAGAAUCCUGAAGCUAAUUCUUCCAAGGCACAGCGGGGCAUGCUGAAAGUUAUCAGAAGGCCGAAAGAAUAAAUCGGUUGUUCAUCUGCAUGUACAACCAUCGUCAAGUGUUAUCAUGUACUGUUUUUUGCAGCUGCAUAAUAUUAAACAGUCCGAGUCUGCCCCGGCAGCCCAUAUG